CAGGGAGACAACAAAAUGUUUAAUAUUAUUAUUUUGUCACCUUAGGUCGAUCGGUAUCUCACGUUUUUAAUUUAUUAAGAAUUUCAUUUCCUAAGUUUUUCUAGGUCACACCCAUUAUUUUUCCUGGGCCAUUAGCUCAGGUGGUUAGAGCGCACCCCUGAUAAGGGUGAGGUCCCUGGUUCAAGUCCAGGAUGGCCCAUAUCUCUAUGUUGGGGGUAUAGCUCAGUUGGUAGAGCGCCUGCUUUGCAAGCAGGAUGUCAGCGGUUCGAGUCCGCUUACCUCCACUGAUUACCACCUCUUCCAUAAUUUGAAGAAAGGAAACUUUUUGAGUUGUGAUCAAAUUCUGAACGAAUCUAGCUUCCUAAUGAAUCCAUUAAGAUGCUGGACUCAUUGAAUUAAUUUUCAUUGUUUUCAGAGAACCUUGACAACUGCAUAGAUUAUUUUUAAAGACAAUAAGCAUCUUUAAUGAUGCAGAUUUAUUAUUUGUGCGAAUGCAUUAAUAACAAUUCUAUUAAGCUGAUGCUUCAAUUUAAUGAAGUUAUU
rnacentral:tRNA from 1 species